rnacentral:rRNA from 1 species
UAGGGAAUAUUGGACAAUGGGCGAAAGCCUGAUCCAGCAACGCCGCGUGCGCGAUGACGGCCUUCGGGUUGUAAAGCGCUUUUAGAGGAGAUGAGAAAGGACAGUAUCCUCUGAAUAAGCCUCGGCGAACUACGUGCCAGCAGCCGCGGUAAAACGUAGGAGGCUAGCGUUAUCCGGAUGUAUUGGGCGUAAAGCGCGUGCAGGCGGUCUAGUAAGUUGGAUGUGAAAGCUCCUGGCUUAACUGGGAGAGGUCGUUCAAAACUGCUAGACUAGAGAAUGGGAGAGGGAGGUGGAAUUCCGGGUGUAGUGGUGAAAUGCGUAGAUAUCCGGAGGAACACCAGUGGCGAAGGCGGCCUCCUAGACCAUUUCUGACGCUAAGACGCGAAAGCUAGGGUAGCAAACG